rnacentral:rRNA from 1 species
AAUAGAUACCCCGGUAGUCCACGCCGUAAACGAUGAGUGCUAAGUGUUAGAGGGUUUCCGCCCUUUAGUGCUGCAGCUAACGCAUUAAGCACUCCGCCUGGGGAGUACGGUCGCAAGACUGAAACUCAAAGGAAUUGACGGGAGCCCGCACAAGCGGUGGAGCAUGUGGUUUAAUUCGAAGCAACGCGAAGAACCUUACCAGGUCUUGACAUCCCACUGACCGGUAUAGAGAUAUACCUUUCCCUUCGGGGACAGUGGUGACAGGUGGUGCAUGGUUGUCGUCAGCUCGUGUCGUGAGAUGUUGGGUUAAGUCCCGCAACGAGCGCAACCCUUGAUCUUAGUUGCCAGCAUUUAGUUGGGCACUCUAAGGUGACUGCCGGUGACAAACCGGAGGAAGGUGGGGAUGGACGGUCAAAUCAUCAUGCCCCUUAUGACCUGGGCUACACACGUGCUACAAUGGAUGGUACAAAGGGCUGCAAGACUGCGAAGUCAAGCCAAUCCCAUAAAACCAUUCUCAGUUCGGAUUGCAGG